UUGUUCACCUCAGCAGCACAUAUACUAAAAUGGGAACAACACAGAGAAGAUUGACAAGACCCCACACAAGGAUGACACAUAAAGUCAGGAGCGUUCCAUAUUUGA
ensembl:snRNA U6 U6 spliceosomal RNA